GAAAUGGUGGUUCAGUGGUAGAGUUCUCACCUUUCACGUGGGAUACCAGGGCUCAAUUCCUGGCCAGUGUA
rnacentral:tRNA from 1 species